rnacentral:rRNA from 1 species
GAUGAACGCUGGCGGCGUGCCUAAUACAUGCAAGUCGAGCGAACAGACGAGGAGCUUGCUCCUCUGAUGUUAGCGGCGGACGGGUGAGUAACACGUGGAUAACCUACCUAUAAGACUGGGAUAACUUCGGGAAACCGGAGGUAAUACCGGAUAACAUGUUGAACCGCAUGGUUCAACAGUGAAAGACGGUCUUGCUGUCACUUAUAGAUGGAUCCGCGCCGCAUUAGCUAGUUGGUAAGGUAACGGCUUACCAAGGCAACGAUGCGUAGCCGACCUGAGAGGGUGAUCGGCCACACUGGAACUGAGACACGGUCCAGACUCCUACGGGAGGCAGCAGUAGGGAAUCUUCCGCAAUGGGCGAAAGCCUGACGGAGCAACGCCGCGUGAGUGAAGAAGGUCUUCGGAUCGUAAAACUCUGUUAUUAGGGAAGAACAAAUGUGUAAGUAACUAUGCACGUCUUGACGGUACCUAAUCAGAAAGCCACGGCUAACUACGUG